UACGGAGGGGGCUAGCGUUGUUCGGAAUUACUGGGCGUAAAGCGCACGUAGGCGGCUUUGUAAGUUAGAGGUGAAAGCCCGGGGCUCAACUCCGGAAUUGCCUUUAAGACUGCAUCGCUAGAAUUGUGGAGAGGUAAGUGGAAUUCCGAGUGUAGAGGUGAAAUUCGUAGAUAUCGAGAGGAACACCGGUGGCGAAGGCGGCCAACUGGACGAAUACUGACGCUGAGACUCGAAAAGCGUGGGGAGCAAACAGG
rnacentral:rRNA from 1 species